UAGCAAGCGUGGCAAGUCAGCUGAAGUCCUAUUGAUCUACAAGCUUUUGUGAAGUUGUAAGCUGAACUCUUGAUACUCUCUUUGGUACAAAUUGCUAUUUUCUUCUACAUACAUAUUCUGCUUUUUCCACUCUCAGAAACUCCUUUGAGAUGAACAAAUGAUCCAUAUGCUGAAAAGCCACGAAAGUGCAUUGCAGAAAUGGUAGCAGAAUGUCAGUGUCGUACCCAUCCAUUACUUAGCAAGCGUUGAGCAGCACAGCAGAAGACUUCUAGAGGAGGGCUUAGGAAUCCAGAGAUUCAACAUAAUGGGGAGCUCAAUGGAUAGUGACACGAGACAGCGGUGAGAUUGUGUUUCCUGUGCCCGAGACCACAAACAAGCAAGGGGUUGAUCCUCCAGGCAUACUGGUCUCAUCAUGAGUGAGAAAAAAAUGGGAAUGACAAAAAUACUUUGCC
rnacentral:lncRNA from 13 species